CCCUUAGAUGUCCUGGGCCGCACGCGCGCUACACUGACGGAGCCAGCGAGCGUGUCCUUCGCCGAAAGGUGCGGGUAAUCUUGGCAGCCUCCGUCGUGCUGGGGAUAGAUGGUUGCAAUUAUUGAUCUUGAACGAGGAAUUCCUAGUAAGCGCGAGUCACCAGCUCGCGUUGAUUACGUCCCUGCCCUUUGUACACACCGCCCGUCGCUACUACCGAUUGGAUGGUUUAGUGAAAACUUCGGAUCGGAGCCGGGGCGGUCCUCGCGGGUCGCGCCGGACGCCGAGAAGUUGUUUAAACCAAAUUUUCUAGAGGAAGUAAAAGUCGUAACA
rnacentral:rRNA from 1 species